CCGCCGUCGCGGAGGAUCUCCCCCUCCAGCCGCCGACGCCGAUUUCUGAGAGGUAUAAUCGGUUCAAGUUCGUGGCCGUCCGCGCUGAAGUGCUCGAUUUUCUUAGAACGCAUGAUGUAUAGAUUAUAUUUUGUUGGACUUUUUGGUUGGAUGUAUCGGACAUUAAAAUUUUAAAUUUUGAGAUCUUAUUUAUUUAUUUA